ensembl:lncRNA
AAAAAAGAUCGACCUUUUGCCCUCUCCUGCAUCCAACCACACCCAUCCACCUCCAUCACUAGAACCCUCCCUCCAUGUGUUCAUCCCUAUCUGCACAUCCCACCCCUGACCCAGUAACCUUCGACCCCAUCAGAGUCCAUCGAAAUAAACAGCUGUAGAAAAAGCAUCAACACAUCAACAUCAACAUGCUUUUAGAUGAAAGAGCUACAACAGCAAGAGGUUUUCUCAGUGACUGAUGCCAAUCGACAUCCAGUAAGGCUGGACAGGCAGUUCUGUAAUUAUGCACCACAUCUUCAAAGCCUCAACGCAGAGACGAGACAACCAUCUCAUUAUUGGCAGGCAAGUUGUCUCUCAAUCCUCACUUGGUACUUUAAACACUUUUUUUUACAACACGCUCUAGAUUCCAGGCCAUCAAAAUUCUACCCAAGUACUACCUUGAAGGCAGAACAUUCUAGCUCACUUUGUGGUUUCAGUCAGAACUGGCUGUCCAUUGCCUUAUUAUGGGCCCAGGCUUCCUUGUUCUUGCUAGCGACAUUUUAGUGUAAUGGAAGGUUUCAGGCAGUCAGGGAACAUGGAGCCUAUUGGGUGUCUGCAUUUAUCAGCUCCGUCUGUCUGUAAUAGCUUUGUCAGCACCACAGGGCCAGAGUCAGGGAUGACAUUUCAGCUAGCGCAGUGGCUAUAAAAACACAAAAAUGCUGAGAUCUUAGCCAAACAUGAGUAAUGUGUUUAUUCAUUCAUAGACAUGCCUCAUUUAAGAGGAAUUUUGGUAAUUUUGGCAUACACGAUAACGACCAUGAGGUUUAGGACAUUAAAAUCCAAAUACUCCUGAAUGGAAAUGAGGAAUUACGCUUCGGAAGCAGGUAACUAGCUCAGCAUUCAUCACUCAGCACUGUAAACAGCCCUGUGAGCGGUGUCUGUGACCUUUCAAAGAAUGUAGCUCAUUUCACAUUCAACAUCUGCCACAGUCUGCAACACGUCAAACAUCAAGAGCCCUGUCGACGAGAGAAGAAGGUCUAUAAGCCUGAGAGUGACAAGACAUCCUUUUUUUCCUCCAAUAAGAUCAAAAGCAUGAGUGUGUACUGUCACGUCAAUAGUGUUGUUUCUGUUUAUUUCUUAUUUUUGGUGAUUGUCUGGGGGGAAUUUGUGAGUGACUGAAAUAUAAAGGCCUAACUAAUGUACACGCUCCAGAUAGCAAAUUUAAAGGAACCAGUCCAAUGCACAAAUUGCUUUGUUGUUCUCUGAAGCUGAUGUGACAAGAUAACCUAAUAUAUGCUAGAACCUCACACAUGGAAGACAAAAGGCUAGCGUUGUGCUACACUGUCAGAAAAAAAAGAAAGAAAGAAAGAAAGAAAAGAAAAAAGGGGGAAAAAGUACAAAUCUUUUUUUUUCUUUUUCUAAAAAAUUGUGUUUCCAUAUAAAUCACAUUGUGUAAAUUCACCACCUUGUACUGUAAAUACAUUUUUUUAUAUAUAUUCUGAGUGUAGACAAUGUAUUUUCUUUUCUUUCUUUU